UCGCCACCAAAACUUCCGUA
rnacentral:siRNA from 1 species